UACAGAGGGUGCAAGCGUUAAUCGGAAUUACUGGGCGUAAAGCGUGCGUAGUCGGUUAUUUAAGUCGGGUGUGAAAGCCCCGGGCUCAACCUGGGAAUUGCAUUCGAUACUGGAUAGCUAGAGUUCGGGAGAGGGAUGCAGAAUUCCAGGUGUAGCGGUGAAAUGCGUAGAUAUCUGGAGGAAUACCGGUGGCGAAGGCGGCAUCCUGGACCGACAUUGACGCUGAACGGCGAAAGCUAGGGGAGCAAACGGG
rnacentral:rRNA from 1 species